UACGGAGGGUGCAAGCGUUAUCCGGAUUUAUUGGGUUUAAAGGGUCCGCAGGCGGGCCGAUAAGUCAGUGGUGAAAUCUCAUAGCUUAACUAUGAAACUGCCGUUGAUACUGUCGGUCUUGAGUAAAUUAGAGGUAGCUGGAAUAAGUAGUGUAGCGGUGAAAUGCAUAGAUAUUACUUAGAACACCAAUUGCGAAGGCAGGUUACCAUGAUUUAACUGACGCUGAGGGACGAAAGCGUGGGGAGCGAACAGG
rnacentral:rRNA from 1 species